rnacentral:lncRNA from 1 species
GCAUUGGUGAGCGCCUGCCCUGAUGAUGGUCCACUUUCAUAAGGUUAAAAUGGAGAAAGCAUAUAGGAUUUCGAGUCCUUACCUAGUCGUGAUACCAUUGAAAUUUAGGACCCUUUGAGAUCUUCAUCAGUUUCACUGUGACAGACGUGACGUUGUCACUAGUCUAGAAUACUAGGAGCUACUACCCCCCAAUCUCGCCCUCAGUCCUGAGGUUGUGGUACGAAGAGACCAUCGCACAGGUUACGAAAGGGCACUUUGCCAGAAACAAUGCCCGAACGCAGAUACCAUCAAUCCUAGACCAAAUGUCCAAGAUGCGAAACAUUUAAUGUUGCUAGCAACGAGCCCCUGUGGACACUUUUUUAUUUGAUGAUCGGACGUCCUGGCAGUAUUGGUUUUAAAGGACACAGCUUGUCUGCAAAAAAAAAAAAAAAAAAAAAAAAUGUAGAAUGGUAAUGAAGAGCGUUGUACUGAAUGUAAGAGGAAUACAAUCCAAUGUACUCGAGUCUUUUAUUUAUUGAGGAUUUUUGCGCUUCAUAGGUCACAGAUAUGAAUCGGGUGUAAUUGCAUUUAAUAAGUUUUUCACUUAUGACGGGAAAACAUUUUUUCACAAUAGCUUAAGAAAAGUUAAGAUAAAACUGAAGUUCAGUAUGAUCAGUCAUUAUUCCAGUGUUCAAUUGAAUAAGAUGAACUGUGUUUCCGUGUGAAAAACUUAAGCCUGCCUUUACAGUUAUUAUUAAAAUUUCAAAUAGAAUAUCCAGUUGCUUUAUCCACAUUCUAAAUGCAGACAGUUUUUCGCUCGCAAAACAAUGGUGGUACCACCACUUAUGGUCGUCUGUGUUUUAUUUCAAUCUUAGUGAUGUAGUCAUUUUUCAAAUUUGUGCUUUUGAUGAUGUGGAGAUAUUCGUCAGUAUAGCAUUUGAGAAGAUCAUAAGCCGCACACUAACCUCAAGUAACCCGCGCAUUACUAAUAUUACUAAUAUAUUAUGAUUUUCUCAAGUGUUAUAGUUGACAAAUAUAUCCAAUUCAUCAUAUAUGCACCUUUUUUCUCCGAACCCGAAAAAUUCGAAUUGAAAUUUGCAUGGACGGUCAUACAGUGUAAUGUGAAACCUAAAAUAUGUAGAAGAAAGCUUGCUUUAUUCUUUAUUUAUAUCAUACAGAUAGUUGCGAUGUCAGGGCAAAAUUACAUUUGAGAAACUUCUGUUUUAAACAGUGAUAAGUUAAUUUCAAUCAUUGAGUUGUCUGGGUAAUAAUAAUAUUACCUGAACUUUUGUAUAUUUUAUCACGAGAGAGAACUAUACCAGGUUUUGAUGUAUGCUUUCUGUUUUAAAAGGAUCGAGUUACUUUAUUUAUGACUUCAUAUUCCUAGAUGAAGUUAAAAUAAGCCCUGGUUUAAUUGUGUUAAGACUUAGUAAAUGUCUUGUCUUCAGUACCUUUUUCAGUAGGAAUUACAUGUACUUUGGUAAAUUCUUGUACUUCAUUUUGUGUACCAGUCUAAUGUAUACAGAGAAUAGUUUGUAGCACGAGCAAAACUUUAUUCAGUUGCACCAUGCUGUAUUAUAUAUGGACAAUAUUUAUGAACUGUAAAGCGCCGGGCCAAUAAAAAAAACUGUUUCAAGAAGCAUCCGGGCGUGGGCAUUUUCCCAGCAUUCCCCACGAAGGGUUUAGACGGGUUUUUCCCCACGGCCCGAGGGCAUCGGGUACUACCAUUUAUUGAUUCAUUGCAUGUACAUGAUUCAUUUAUGAUUACUAAAGUACUUG